UACGUAGGGUGCAAGCGUUGUCCGGAAUUAUUGGGCGUAAAGAGCUCGUAGGCGGUUUGUCGCGUCUGCUGUGAAAACCUAAGGCUCAACCUCGGGCCUGCAGUGGGUACGGGCAGGCUAGAGUGCGGUAGGGGAGAAUGGAACUCCUGGUGUAGCGGUGGAAUGCGCAGAUAUCAGGAAGAACACCGAUGGCGAAGGCAGUUCUCUGGGCCGUAACUGACGCUGAGGAGCGAAAGCGUGGGGAGCGAACAGG
rnacentral:rRNA from 1 species